rnacentral:rRNA from 1 species
UACGUAGGGCGCAAGCGUUGUCCGGAAUUAUUGGGCGUAAAGAGCUCGUAGGCGGCCUGUCGCGUCUGCUGUGAAAUCCCGGGGCUUAACCCCGGGCGUGCAGUGGAUACGGGCUGGCUGGAGGCAGGCAGGGGAGAACGGAAUUCCCGGUGUAGCGGUGAAAUGCGCAGAUAUCGGGAGGAACACCGGUGGCGAAGGCGGCGCUCUGGACCGAGACUGACGCUGAGGCGCGAAAGCGUGGGGAGCAAACAGG